rnacentral:rRNA from 1 species
GACGUAGGGGACGAGCGUUGUCCGGAUUUAUUGGGCGUAAAGAGCGUGUAGGCGGCCAUGUAGGUCCGGUGUGAAAACUCGAGGCUUAACCUCGAGAUGUCAUCGGAAACCAUUUGGCUAGAGUCCGGAAGAGGAGAGUGGAAUUCCUGGUGUAGCGGUGAAAUGCGCAGAUAUCAGGAAGAACACCAAUGGCGAAAGCAGCUCUCUGGGACGGUACUGACGCUGAGACGCGAAAGCGUGGGGAGCGAACAGG